rnacentral:rRNA from 1 species
ACGAACGCUGGCGGCAGGCCUAACACAUGCAAGUCGAGCGCGCCCUUCGGGGUGAGCGGCGGACGGGUGAGUAACGCGUGGGAACGUGCCCUUUUCUACGGAAUAGCCUCGGGAAACUGAGAGUAAUACCGUAUACGCCCUUUGGGGGAAAGAUUUAUCGGAAAAGGAUCGGCCCGCGUUGGAUUAGGUAGUUGGUGGGGUAAUGGCCUACCAAGCCGACGAUCCAUAGCUGGUUUGAGAGGAUGAUCAGCCACACUGGGACUGAGACACGGCCCAGACUCCUACGGGAGGCAGCAGUGGGGAAUCUUAGACAAUGGGGGCAACCCUGAUCGAGCCAUGCCGCGUGAGUGAUGAAGGCCUUAGGGUUGUAAAGCUCUUUCAGCUGGGAAGAUAAUGACGGUACCAGCAGAAGAAGCCCCGGCUAACUCCGUG